CCGCACAAGCGGUGGAGCAUGUGGUUUAAUUCGAAGCAACGCGAAGAACCUUACCAGGUCUUGACAUCCUUUGACCACUCUAGAGAUAGAGCUUUCCCUUCGGGGACAAAGUGACAGGUGGUGCAUGGUUGUCGUCAGCUCGUGUCGUGAGAUGUUGGGUUAAGUCCCGCAACGAGCGCAACCCUUAUUGUUAGUUGCCAUCAUUUAGUUGGGCACUCUAGCGAGACUGCCGGUGACAAACCGGAGGAAGGUGGGGAUGACGUCAAAUCAUCAUGCCCCUUAUGACCUGGGCUACACACGUGCUACAAUGGGAAGUACAACGAGUCGCUAGACCGCGAGGUCAUGCAAAUCUCUUAAAGCUUCUCUCAGUUCGGAUUGCAGGCUGCAACUCGCCUGCAUGAAGCCGGAAUCGCUAGUAAUCGCGGAUCAGCACGCCGCGGUGAAUACGUUCCCGGGCCUUGUACACACCGCCCGUCACACCACGAG
rnacentral:rRNA from 1 species